rnacentral:misc_RNA from 1 species
GAUGAAGAACGCAGCAAAAUGCGAUAAGUAAUGUGAAUUGCAGAAUUCAGUGAAUCAUCGAAUCUUUGAACGCACAUUGCGCCCGCCAGUAUUCUGGCGGGCAUGCCUGUUCGAGCGUCAUUUCAACCCUCAAGCACAGCUUGGUGUUGGGACUCGCGUUAAUUCGCGUUCCCCAAAUUGAUUGGCGGUCACGUCGAGCUUCCAUAGCGUAGUAGUAAAACCCUCGUUACUGGUAAUCGUCGCGGCCACGCCGUUAAACCCCAACUUCUGAAUGUUGACCUCGGAUCAGGUAGGAAUACCAGCUGAACUUAAGCAUAUCAAUAAGCGGAGGA